CUGGAGCGCCUGCCCAUCAUUGGCUUUUCGCUGAGGAGCGCCCUGUAAUGAGCCCCGUGGGCAGAUGAGCACAUGCCAUGGAUACUGUACUUAGCUGUCUUCCUAGUGACAUAAGAGGACACCCACAAAUAUUUGCUGCUUCAGGAUCUCUCAUUAAGUAUAUGACCUAUCCCAAAAUCUGAAAACGUUCUGAAAUUCUGACCACUUUUGGUUCCAAGCUUUUCAGAUCUUGGUUCCUCAGCCUACCCGGAGCUCUUGACAAGUUCAGAGCAUGCUUUCCUCCUCAUUGCUGGGAUCCAUUUCUGUUUCAAGGAAGACACCAGGUACAAUGAGACGAAGGACCCUUACAGGGAUUCAAUACGGGGAGAACAGAUGAGCUCUGUGGGCAGAGGGAGAGACCCAGAGCCCGAUGGGCACCUUGUUCUCAUAACGCUGAGGCGGCACCCUUGAGGCUUCUAUGUCUUCUGCAUGUGUAAUGGUUCCUGCUCUU